AAUAGGGUGGCCGAGUGAAUAGGCGUUAGAUUGUAAAUCUAAAGACAAGUUAAUACUUCCUUAUUA
rnacentral:tRNA from 1 species